UAAACAUAGAUUAGCAUACUUUACACUGAUGCUAGAAAAAAAAGUGUUUUGUUGUAAUUUUACAGUGUUGUAUGCAUGAUGUGUCAGAAAUCAGUUCAGGUUGGUUGCCUUAGUGUGUCAGUAUAUGCCUAGAUUUAUAUUUGUAAGUGCAUGUGUUUGUUUGUGUCUGCAACUGUUUUUCAUGGUUCUCACCCUGGUAACUACUGAGUGUGAAAAAGAAACCACUAAAGAUACCACUAAUACCACUACAUAUGCAGUGUGUACUAAGUCUGUGUACUAAGCCAGUCAACCACUGUUCUGUCCCAAGUAAAAGAUUAAAAAUGAUUCAUAAUAAUUUGGUGAUAAAAAUGUCAUAUUUCAUCUGUGGUAAUUUAUGUUAAAAAAGAGAGUCAUUUAGUUAAAAAAUAUUUUCUAUACAGUCAGCAUUAGUUUUUCUGUAUCUUAUUUUGAAGGAGUAAUCUGUGUUCGCAAUGCAUUGUGGGAAGCGGAAGCUGCAGUCAGUUGGGAAAAAGCAUUGUACAGAAAGCCUGCCUAUCCGUGUUUAAACUUCAUCUCCUGUGCCCUGAAUCUUUAUAUACACUAUCGAAAGCAAUGGCUUUUCACUCAGCACUUUCAUCGAGCUAUUCAAGCCACAAUUGUAAAAGAUUGUAAGCUGUCGAGAA